GGGGGUAUAGCUCAGCUGGGAGAGCAUCUGCCUUACAAGCAGAGGGUCACAGGUUCGAGCCCUGUUGUCCCCA
rnacentral:tRNA from 1 species